AGCUCAUAUAAGGUAAAAGGCAGAGUGGCCUCUGUGGCCAGGGAGCCGCAGGCAAGGGACUAAGGGGAGGGGGGCUCAGUGCCAGCUGCUUAAAAAUGCCCCUGUGGCAGCGAGGGGCACCAGAGGCUGGGUCUAAUUAGUUGAGAAGCAGUGACACCCCCAACCACUCCCCAAACAGGCUGGCUCCCGUCUCCAGGCCCCAAGGAGCCACACCUGGACCAGACCCCAGGAAAGACAUGUGGUGGAAACCCUACGGCCCUGGAGCCCAAGGAGAGCAACGGCUGUAACAAGUGCACAGGCAAGGGCGCUAGCUGGUGGGAGCCACCCCGCCAUGCUGAUGUCAGAGAAGCAAGAACUCUGGAGAAGCAGCCUCCUGGGACCAGAGGAGGGCCAGCAGCAGGCAGCCCGGAGACAGAACUCUCACCCACGCCUCUCCAAGCCUCCCAACAGAAGACAGAGGUCCCCCACAGCCAGAGACAUUUCCUGAAGACAUGGGGAACACAGAGGCAGAAACAGCCCAUCCACCCAGGAGCUGUCCCCCACACUGCCGGGAGCCGGCACCCAGAGCCGCCAGGUAAAACUGAGGCCACCUGGUUCAACAUCACCUUUCACAGAAGGGGAAGCAGCCACAGAAAGAAGGGCCUCGUUAAGAAGUGGAACCUGGGACCCCCAAGCGGUGUCUCUCAUCCUGACUGGGGAUCCAGAGUAGGAGGGAGCCUUUGGUGGGGUUGGAGUCCCGCCACAGGCCACCAGAGCGGAGCAGCGCAGCGCCCUGUCUCCCAGCCUGAGGUGCAGUGCUGCAUCUCUGGUCAGUUGGGAGUCUGAGAUGAAGCACUGUAGCUCAGGAAGAGAGAAGUUGUUCUGCAGCCAUCAGCCUGGAAGUGCCUGGCUGGUGGGCCUUCUUGCAGUAGCUUCCCCUGGAGAAGAGGAAAAGCAAACCUUCAUUGAGACCCAAGCGGUCUCUCCUGUGCUCUGUGACAAUAAUAAAGUUCCAGCCCUUGGCAAAAAAAAAA
rnacentral:lncRNA from 1 species